GUGGGGAAUAUUGCACAAUGGGGGAAACCCUGAUGCAGCGACGCCGCGUGAGUGAAGAAGUAUUUCGGUAUGUAAAGCUCUAUCAGCAGGGAAGAAAAUGACGGUACCUGACUAAGAAGCCCCGGCUAACUACGUGCCAGCAGCCGCGGUAUACGUAGGGGGCAAGCGUUAUCCGGAUUUACUGGGUGUAAAGGGAGCGUAGACGGCAUGGCAAGUCUGAAGUGAAAUGCGGGGGCUCAACCCCUGAACUGCUUUGGAAACUGUCAGGCUGGAGUGCAGGAGAGGUAAGUGGAAUUCCUAGUGUAGCGGUGAAAUGCGUAGAUAUUAGGAGGAACACCAGUGGCGAAGGCGGCUUACUGGACUGUAACUGACGUUGAGGCUCGAAAGCGUGGGGAGCAAACAGGAUUAGAUACCCUGGUAGUCC
rnacentral:rRNA from 1 species